UACGAAGGGGGCUAGCGUUGUCCGGAUUUAUUGGGCGUAAAGAGCUCGUAGGCGGCUCGGUAAGUCGGGUGUGAAACCUCCAGGCUCAACCUGGAGAUGCCAUUCGAUACUGCCAUGGCUAGAGUCCGGUAGGGGACCACGGAAUUCCUGGUGUAGCGGUGAAAUGCGCAGAUAUCAGGAGGAACACCGGUGGCGAAGGCGGUGGUCUGGGCCGGAACUGACGCUGAGGAGCGAAAGCGUGGGGAGCGAACAG
rnacentral:rRNA from 1 species